AACGAACGCUGGCGGCAUGCCUAACACAUGCAAGUCGAACGAGACCUUCGGGUCUAGUGGCGCACGGGUGCGUAACGCCUGGGAAUCUACCCCUGGGUUCGGAAUAACAGUUAGAAAUGACUGCUAAUACCGGAUGAUGACGUAAGUCCAAAGAUUUAUCGCACAAGGAUGAGCCGGCGUAAGAUUAGCUUGUUGGUGGGGUAAUGGCCUACCAAGGCGACGAUCUUUAGCUGGUCUGAGAGGAUGAUCAGCCACACUGGGACUGAGACACGGCCCAGACUCCUACGGGAGGCAGCAGUGGGGAAUAUUGGACAAUGGGCGAAAGCCUGAUCCAGCAAUGCCGCGUGAGUGAUGAAGGCCUUAGGGUUGUAAAGCUCUUUUACCAGGGAUGAUAAUGACAGUACCUGGAGAAUAAGCUCCGGCUAACUCCGUGCCAGCAGCCGCAGUAA
rnacentral:rRNA from 1 species